CCUACGGGAGGCAGCAGUGGGGGAUAUUGCACAAUGGGGGAAACCCUGAUGCAGCGACGCCGCGUGAGUGAAGAAGUAUUUCGGUAUGUAAAGCUCUAUCAGCAGGGAAGAAAAUGACAGUACCUGCCCAAGAAGCCCCGGCUAACUACGUGCCAGCAGCCGCGGUAAUACGUAGGGGGCAAGCGUUAUCCGGAUUUACUGGUUGUAAAGGUAGCGUAGACGGUUAUGUAAGUCUGGAGUGAAAGCCCGGGUCCCAACCCCGGGACUGCUUUGGAAACUGUGUAACUGGAGUACAGGAGGGGCAGGCGGAAGUCCUGGUGUAGCGGUGAAAGGCGUAGAGAUCAGGAGGAACACCGGCGGCGAAGGCGGCCUGCUGGACUGAAACUGACGUUGAGGCUCGAAAGCGUGGGGAGCAAACAGGAUUAGAUACCCCUGUAGUC
rnacentral:rRNA from 1 species